GUGAACGAAAGAUUCAGUCAACACAAAAAAAAAUCACCAAUCAACAACAAGUACGUGUGCAUAUCCAUGAAAAUUGAAUUCAAAAGAGGACUUCGAAUGCGCCAGCAUAAUCUGAACAAACUCAAAUUCAGCUCCACCUAACACCGCCGUGGACCACCGCGUCGGAAAUCGCCUCCGGCGACGGUAGCCACCAAAACCCGAAAUCAACGCAUCAAUAGCUUUGCCAUUUUCUCCCCCAUUGUGAAUCCUGUAAUCGUUUCACCUAAUUUACCUUAAAUCAUCCAAACCGAUUCAUAAAGUUGAAGAACCUUAAAUCCCUUUCUACCAAUUAAAUCCCAACCAAGGGGAAUCAGUGUCCAGACUGUUAGGGUUUUGAUUCCUUUAACCCUAAUCCACAUGCUGAUAAACGAAAUUGAGCGAAAUGGAGUGGAAUUUUGGACCUACCUCUGAAGUCGAAGCUUGAAGACGAUAGAGGUUGAGUUUCCAAUAUGAUGAAGAUGAGUGCAGCGAUAAUUUUCAGGUAAGCACUGAUUCUUUUUCUUGAUUCCUUCUUGCUUCACUUCUACUUCAAUUCUUCUCCUUCUUCGUUCUCGUGCUUUGAGAAUGAAUGAGUAGAGAGAGGUGAGGUUUUGAUGUGGUCUAGCUCAAGCAAAUUGAAGCUUCAAUGGCUAUGAAAUAUGAGCUCUAAGUGAGGGAUUGAGAGAUUCAACGGAGAAAUUCUAUGUGAAUUUGAGGGCAAUGAAAACGUGAAGCGAAUGAGUGAAGUGUGAUCUUAUUUAUAGAGCUUAUGUCCCUCCAAUUUAGUUGGAAAUGCACAUGAAAUUCUAUCACAGGUUAGUUAGAAAUUAGAAAAUCUGUUAGCAUUUAGAGUGAGUGAAAACGAGUUAGUUUGUAUUCAGUUAGUUUCUAUUUAGUUAAUGUGAAAGAUUUCGUGUUGCAUCAGGUUAGCUGUUGUGGUCUCAUUUAGUUAUGUUAAUGUUGUGAACUUGUGAAAUGCAAUUCGAUUGAAUUGAGGGUUGCUGGGAUAUUUUGCAGAAUGGUUGCAGCUUACUCUGACUUAGAAUUUGGCAUUGUGGUUUGUGUAUAGGUAUGAUUCAUACUCACCAAGGAACCAUGAUCAAGUUGUAGGCUUAGUGACAUGUUAAUGUUGAGUUUGCUUAUGAUACCUUACCCGAUGGAGGUUCAUACCAUUUGUUGCUUGCUAGCUCAAGACUGGUGCAUCAUUGGGUACAAUUAUGUUGCUGUAGCUGACUAUUGAUGAUGAAUUUCAGAAUCCUGAAUUGAGAGGUAAGGUCUGCCAAGGUGAGUUUCUUUCAUGUUGCCAUGUUUUCCAUGUGAUGUGUGUUGGCACUGAAUUCUAUGACUGGUUUGCAUUGAAGAAUUUGGUUGCAUAGCUUGAUUUCGAUAACCCUCUGCAGGAUCAAGUUUCCAUCAACUUGUUUCAUAUUGUUUCAUGAUGAUUUAUGUGUCUCUUGGUCUAUGGUUAGUGCCUUGAUGAUACUGAUUUAACAUUCUGCUUACAAUGUGAUGCGGGGCAGGUUGGAGUUUAGAUCCAAUUGAGUGAGUGCAAUGUGAAGAAUGACCAAGAUCUCUUUAAUUGAUUUUUUUUUCAAAUGGCAAGUCACGUAACUAGUAGUGUACCAUGCAUUAGGAUAAAGAUGCAAUGUAUUAAUGUAGUAUUCAAUGUGUAUAUUCCAUACUCAUGUGUAACAUUCAAUGCUUAUGUAAUGAACCAAUGAUAUUCUUGAUUUUGAAAAUGAUGAAUGCAAUGUUUUACUCAAA